CCUGACUUAAGCUCAGACACAGAUCCUGAGCACUGAGGCCUGGGACUUCAACUAUGAGACUGGUGACAGGAAUAACUCUUCUCCUAGCUUUGGGUAUAUUGGGAGAUUCUAAGACCACACAGCCAAACUCAGUGGAGGGCGCUGAAGAAGGACCUGUGCACUUGCCCUGUAAUCACUCCACAAUCAGUGGACCUGAGCAUGUAUAUUGGUAUCGACAGAUUCCCCACCAGGGUCCAGAGUACUUGAUUCAUGGUCUGAACAACAAUGUGACAAAUAGGAUGGCCUCUCUGAGCAUCGCCAAAGACAGAAAGUCCAGCAUCUUGGUUCUGCCCCAGGUCACCGUGAGAGACACCGCUGUGUACUACUGCGUCCUGAGAGACACACACUGGGACAGGCGGGGCUGCAUCUGUGCGGCCGAGUAUCCAAGAACUGGAGCACAGAUCAUGAUCCCUGAUCAUCCAAGAGGAGAAAGAUGUCCAUAAACUGCCAUUCAUCAGCUACCUCACAUGCCUUAUCCUGGAACAGACAAAAGCAUGGUGAAGGUGUGAGUGCCC